UCCAAGAGGCUGUCUCCACUCCGACUCUGAACCUGCCGCCCGCCGCCAGAGGUCUAAAGGAGGCGGUCCAGUUCAAUGUCUCCUCCACCUGGAAUGCUCCCAGACGUGGGAGGAGCCCUUACCGGUUAGCAGCCCCCACCCGGUUCGGCGCGAGGGUCUCAGUUCCGUGCAUUUAAAGCGCAGCUGAGGAAUGCAGCAGCUAAACUCCCCCCAAAGAAGCAGCGCCUCCUCGCCGCGCACCCACUGGCGCCCGAAAGCACCAGAGUCCCCUCCCCCACCCCUCCUUUCCCGAACCUUCAACUUCCAAGCGCCCCAGAUUCAUUUGGAGUAGGAGUAGCGCUUUGGGGCAAUGGGGUAAUUUGGCCCACCGGGGUUCCUUUUGACUCCGACCUAGUUCCGUGGUCCCCGGUCUCCCAGCCUUCCCACACCGCCGCCUCAAAUUCCGAGAGCUGGCUCGGAGAAACGGCGAGGAAUUCCCCAGGGACUGCCCAGCCAGCUUGCCCGCCGCUCCCCGCCCGGUCCCAGAUGCACGGAGAACGCGCGGAGCUCCUACAUCUGCGCAGAGACCCGGGGCGGGGUAGCCGCGGGGUGGGCGCUGGCCACAAGGAGUCCGGGGUGCGUGGCCGUUGCCGAGAAAAGCUUUCGGAAGAGGCAAGAGUAUUCCAGCACAGGGACGUCGACAUGAAGAGAAAGGUGGACGCAAACUCGGUCAUUCAAAGUCUCUCCCACCCCGCCGCCUCCACUACCCAGCAGGGGGAAAAAAAGAGAAGAAGAAAGAAAGAAAGAAACGGGAAGAAAGUAGUUGCGCCGGGCUCUCUCGCGGGGCCGCGCGCGGAGCUGCUCGAUUUUCCUCUCUAGGCAGAAGGGCCUUUCUUGCCCCUUCCCCCUGGCGGCUUGGGUCUAAUGUGCAAACUCCUCCUCCAAACCUUAGACCCUUCCAGCUCUAGAUCUCUCCCCACCUCCUAUCAAGCCCACCCGUCACUCCUUCCCCCACCCCACAACGCGAACACGCCCAAGGACAAUCACUCCCCAGCGAACUCGCUGCUCUCAGGGACCAGUACCCAGGACGCUGUGCGGGAGGUCAAGGACAGCGGAGUCAAGAGCCGGCGUCAGGUUAAAAAAAUCCAAAUUCCUACGACUUGUUUGAGAAUUUGGUCAAACACCGAGAAGCACGGGCACUGCGCCUACCAGAUCAGGCCGAACCCGACGCAGAGCAAGGCUGCGGGGUCCGAGCGGAGUAGCCGCAGAGUGAUGUCUGUGGGUGGAGACUCCCAACUGGUUACAAGCCACAUCCAGAAUUCAAGGCUGGGGGAACCUGGAAAAGGUCACUUCAUCCAUCCUCCUGACCUUGAGACCAGUCCUCACUCUCCACUGGCAAGUUAGGGUAAGCAGGGAGUCCAUGGUUCAGAUGAGAAUGGAAUCAUAAUUGGCAGCAGAUUCGAAGUAUGAAUCACUGGUCCACACUCCAUAUCUCAAAUUGGAAAACUGGCGACAAUGUCGAAUCAAUGAAUGAAUGACUUAUGUUCUUUCAGAUGGGAAAGUGCCUGAGAUUCCUCUGAUCAAAUCCCCCAUUUUACAGAGGAAGUUAUUUAGAGGCUCAUCAGUGAGAGUGUGGAAAUCAAACUUGAUUCCCAGGAUGCUGUUCUUAGUCUCCUUUCUAUACAACUCUCAGGAAAUAAACAUAUCUCAUGCUUUUCUUCUGGAAAUGUUUUCCAUUUUCCUCUAAUUUGUUCCCCACCUUUUCUUCUUUCCUUUAUUUCAUAACUUGCUUCAACUUAGUUUAAUAUUUCAUUUCCUUUAUUUUGUUACCAUUGUGCACCACUGACAAAACAAGAGAAAAUUAACUUCACAUGCAGAGGCCAAGGUUGCAGUAGGAACAGGAAAAGACUUUUAAUCACAGGAGAGGUCAAAGGACAACUUUAAUAGUGGAAUAGAUACUUUCCCAUUGGUUAGUCCUUUCUGAAGAGAGAGAGGACUAAUUAGAUGAAUUCUAUUUUUCAAUAAUGUUAUAGAUAACCUUUUCAGACUUUUCAGAGUGAAUCUUUUUUUCCCAAAAUUAUUCUUCUUGCUUUUUAAAGUCUUCUUUCCUUUAUAUUAAAAAUGGCAAAGGAUCUAUUUUGAUGUGGGAUUAUUUCUUUGGUAGAUUAAACAAUUUUUUUUCUUGCAAUCAAGGUAUCCAUAAAACCUAGAGUCAAAUUAUUUACUCUCUUAUAUAUCUCCUAAUUCCUUCCUUGUAAAAGAGCUGACUGCAAUAUCUGUCCUUGGCAUUAUGGAUCUCUGGAGCCUAGCAGCAUCCAAUAAAUAAGAGCUGAAGAAGACCACAUAUCUACAGGGUUAUGAUGUAAAUGAAAAUGUGACUAUUCUAGAAGACUUCAAGGGGUAGAACUAGGAUUGAUGAGUGGAAUUUACAAGGGUGCAUAUUUCAAGUCAGGAUAAGGGUGAUGAUUCUUACACAGAGAAUUUCCAAAAAUGGAGUCAAUUGCUUCAUAGCUAAUGAGUUUUUUUCUGUCACUGGACAAGCUCAGGCUGGGACCACCUUCAAACAAUGUUGUGGAGGGGCUUCAGAUUUGGAUAGGUGGUUGGACAGUUAAGAUCCCUUCCAAACUUGAACUAUCACAUCUCAGUGAUCUGGUCACUUUAGCAAGUAUGUAUUUUGCCAAAACAUGAUGUAUAUAAGUUGAUAUUAAGUUUAUAGUUGAUAUAUUAAGAUUUUUUUUAGUGUUACAUAAGUAAACAUUUUAUUUUUUAUUUUUUUGACUUUUAAAAAAAUUUAAAUCCAAGUUAGUUAAUAUAUAGGUUAAUAAUGGUUUCAAGAGUAGAAUUUAAUGAUUUAUCACUUACAUAUAACACUCAGUGCUCAUCCCAACAAGUACCCACCUCAGUGCCCAUCACACAUUUAGCCCAUCCCCCCACCCAACACCCCUCCAGCAACCCUCAGUUUGUUUUCUGUAUUCAAGAGUCUCUUAUGGUUUGCCUCCCUCUCUGUUUUUAUCUUAUUUUUCCUUCAAUAAACAUUUUAAAUUAUAAUAGUUA